rnacentral:rRNA from 1 species
GAUGAACGCUAGCUACAGGCUUAACACAUGCAAGUCGAGGGGAAACGACAUCGAAAGCUUGCUUUUGAUGGGCGUCGACCGGCGCACGGGUGAGUAACGCGUAUCCAACCUGCCCAUCACUUGGGAAUAACCUUGCGAAAGUAAGACUAAUACCCAAUGACAUCCCACGAAGACAUCUGAAUGGGAUUAAAGAUUUAUCGGUGAUGGAUGGGGAUGCGUCUGAUUAGCUUGUUGGCGGGGUAACGGCCCACCAAGGCAACGAUCAGUAGGGGUUCUGAGAGGAAGGUCCCCCACAUUGGAACUGGGACACGGUCCAAACUCCUACGGGAGGCAGCAGUGAGGAAUAUUGGUCAAUGGGCGAGAGCCUGAACCAGCCAAGUAGCGUGCAGGAUGCCGGCCCUAUGGGUUGUAAACUGCUUUUAUAAGGGAAUAAAGUGGGUCUCGUGAGACUUUUUGCAUGUACCUUAUGAAUAAGGACCGGCUAAUUCCGUG